UACGUAGGGGGCAAGCGUUGUCCGGAUUUAUUGGGCGUAAAGAGCUCGUAGGCGGUUUGUCGCGUCUGCUGUGAAAGGCCUGGGCUCAACCUGGGAACUGCAUCCGAUACGGCGGGACUGGAGUGUGGGAGAGGUUGGUGGAAUUCCCAGUGUAGAGGUGAAAUUCGUAGAUAUUGGGAAGAACACCGGUGGCGAAGGCGGCCAACUGGACCACAACUGACGCUGAGGCGCGAAAGCGUGGGGAGCAAACAGG
rnacentral:rRNA from 1 species